rnacentral:rRNA from 1 species
UACGUAGGGUGCGAGCGUUAAUCGGAAUUACUGGGCGUAAAGCGUGCGCAGGCGGUUCUGAAAGUCAGCUGUGGAAGCCCCGGGCUUAACCUGGGAACUGCGGUUGAAACUACAGGACUAGAAUCUGGCAGAGGGGGGUGGAAUUCCACGUGUAGCAGUGAAAUGCGUAGAGAUGUGGAGGAACACCGAUGGCGAAGGCAGCCCCCUGGGCUGAGAUUGACGCUCAGGCACGAAAGCGUGGGGAGCAAACAGG